rnacentral:pre_miRNA from 1 species
UAGCUACUCCCUCCGUCCGGAAAUACUUGUCUUAGAAAUGGUUGUAUCUAGACUUAUUUUAGUUAUAGAUACAUCCAUUUUAUCCAUUUCUAGGACAAAUAUUUCCGGACGGAGGGAGUAUAAG